rnacentral:rRNA from 1 species
CCCUUAGAUGUUCUGGGCCGCACGCGCGCUACACUGAUGCAUUCAACGAGUCUAAAACCUGCUCUGAUAGGGGUGGGUAAUCUUUUGAAUGUGCAUCGUGAUUGGGAUAGAUGAUUGCAAGUUUUCAUCUUCAACGAGGAAUGCCUAGUAAACGCAAGUCAUCAGCUUGCAUUGAUUACGUCCCUGCCCUUUGUACACACCGCCCGUCGCUCCUACCGAUUGAAUGAUCCGAUGAAUAUCAUGGGUUGAGGAUGCAAGUAGGUUCGCCUAUCUUCAUCUUCGAGAAGUGAAGUAAAUCUUAUCAUUUAGAGGAAGGAGAAGUCGUAACA